rnacentral:rRNA from 1 species
CCCCUAGAUGUUCUGGGCCGCACGCGCGCUACACUGAACAGUUCAACAAGUCUUAACCUUGGCCGAUAGGUCUGGGUAAUCUCCAAAUUUCGUCGUGAUGGGGAUAGAUUAUUGCAAUUAUUAAUCUUCAACGAGGAAUGCCUAGUAAGCGCAAGUCAUCAGCUUGCGUUGAUUACGUCCCUGCCCUUUGUACACACCGCCCGUCGCUCCUACCGAUUGAAUGGUCCGGUGAAGCGUUCGGACCGUGGCCUUUGGACGGUUCGCCGUCUGUUGGCUGCGGGAAGUUCGUUAAACCUUAUCAUUUAGAGGAAGGAGAAGUCGUANCA